AAAGUACUCCCUCCGUCCCAAAAUUCUUGUCUUAGAUUUGUCUAGAUACAGAUGUAUCAAGUCACAUUUUAGUAUUAGAUACAUCCGUAUCUANNNNNACAAGAAAUUUGGGACAGAGGGAGUAGUUG
rnacentral:pre_miRNA from 1 species